UACAGAGGGGGCAAGCGUUAUUCGGAAUCACUGGGCGUAAAGCGCACGUAGGCGGAUUGUUAAGUCAGGGGUGAAAUCCUGGAGCUCAACUCCAGAACUGCCUUUGAUACUGGCGAUCUCGAGUCCGGGAGAGGUGAGUGGAACUGCGAGUGUAGAGGUGAAAUUCGUAGAUAUUCGCAAGAACACCAGUGGCGAAGGCGGCUCACUGGCCCGGUACUGACGCUGAGGUGCGAAAGCGUGGGGAGCAAACAGG
rnacentral:rRNA from 1 species